rnacentral:rRNA from 1 species
GACGAACGCUGGCGGCGUGCUUAACACAUGCCAGUCGAACGGAAAGGCCCCUUUGGGGGUACUCGAGUGGCGAACGGGUGAGUAACACGUGAGUAACCUGCCCUUGACUUCGGGAUAACUUCAGGAAACUGGGGCUAAUACCGGAUAGGAAUCCUUGCUGCAUGGUGGGGGUUGGAAAGCUUCGGCGGUUUUGGAUGGACUCGCGGCUUAUCAGCUUGUUGGUGGGGUAGUGGCUUACCAAGGCUUUGACGGGUAGCCGGCCUGAGAGGGCGACCGGCCACAUUGGGACUGAGAUACGGCCCAGACGCCUACGGGAGGCAGCAGUGGGGAAUAUUGCACAAUGGGCGGAAGCCGGAUGCAGCAACGCCGCGGGCGGGAUGACGGCCUUCGGGUUGUAAACCGCUUUCAGCAGGGGCGAAGCUUGUGGUGACGGUACCUGCAGAAGAAGCACCGGCUAACUACGUG